CGGUCGACCGGCGCACGGGUAAGUAACGCGUAUCCAACCUGCCCACCACUUGGGAUAACCUUGCGAAAGUAAGACUAAUACCCAAUGAUAUCUCUAGAAGACAUCUGAAAGAGAUUAAAGAUUCAUCGGUGAUGGAUGGGGAUGCGUCUGAUUAGCUUGUUGGCGGGGUAACGGCCCCCCAAGGCAACGAUCAGUAGGGGUUCUGAGAGGAAGGUCCCCCACAUUGGAACUGAGACACGGUCCAA
rnacentral:rRNA from 1 species